AUCCAACCUAGUAAGAUUUAGCAAAUCGCUAGUAGUUAGUCUUGGAGCCAAAGCCGUGAGGUAAGGUUUAAGCGUAGACAAACAACCAUACGAGCCGUAAUGCGAAAGCGUGAAGUGAUGGAGCCUCGUUAAGUAUAAAGAGCGGAAGUUGAUGUCCUCCUCGCGACAGCAAACAAUACCUACUUAUUUGAUAAAGCAAGAAUAAGAGAGUUCCGUCGGGGUCAUAGAGC
rnacentral:ncRNA from 1 species